rnacentral:rRNA from 1 species
GACGAACGCUGGCGGCGUGCCUAAUACAUGCAAGUCGAACGAGUGGCGGACGGGUGAGUAACACGUGGGAACCUACCCAUCAGAGGGGGAUAACACUUGGAAACAGGUGCUAAUACCGUAAGCGGAUGGAUGGUCCCGCGGUGCAUUAGCUAGUUGGGGAGGUACCGGCUCACCGAGGCGACGAUCCCUAGCUGGUCUGGGAGGAUGACCAGCCACACUGGAACUGCGACACGGUCCAGACUCCUACGGGAGGCAGCAGUGGGGAAUAUUGCAAAAUGGGCGCAAGCCUGAGGCAGCCAUGCCGCGUGUGUGAAGAAGGCCUUCGGGUUGUAAAGCACUUUCAGCGGGGAGGCGUUACCCGCAGAAGAAGCACCGGCUAACUCCGUGCCAGCCGCCGCGGUAAUAC